rnacentral:rRNA from 1 species
AUUGAACGCUGGCGGAAUGCUUUACACAUGCAAGUCGAACGUGAGAAUAGCAAUAUUUGAAAGUGGCAAACGGGUGAGUAACACGUGGGAACCUGCCUCGAAGUGGGGGAUAACGAUUGGAAACGGUCGCUAAUACCGCACGGUUCUGCUCUGAUGGGAAUGGAGCAGAUAAAGAUUUAUCGCUUUGAGAGGGGCCCGCGGCCGAUUAGCUAGUUGGUAAGGUAAAGGCUUACCAAGGCGAUUAUCGGUAGCUGGUCUGAGAGGACGAUCAGCCACACGGGAACUGAGACACGGUCCCGACUCCUACGGGGGGCAGCAGUGAGGAAUAUUGGGCAAUGGGCGAAAGCCUGACCCAGCAACGCCGCGUGGAGGAUGAAGGCUUUAGGGUUGUAAACUCCUUUUGUGGGGGAAAAGAAUGGAUGGUACCCCAAGAAUAAGUCACGGCUAACUACGUGCCAGCAGCCGCGGUAAGGCGUAUGUGU